UGAGGAAUAUUGGUCAAUGGUCGGGAGGCUGAACCAGCCAAGCCGCGUGAGGGAUGAAGGUACAGAGUAUCGUAAACCUCUUUUGUCAGGGAACAAAAGGCGCCACGCGUGGCGCUCCGAGUGUACCUGAAGAAAAAGCAUCGGCUAACUCCGUGCCAGCAGCCGCGGUAAUACGGAGGAUGCGAGCGUUAUCCGGAUUUAUUGGGUUUAAAGGGUGCGUAGGCGGCGAGUUAAGUCAGCGGUAAAAGCCCGGGGGCUCAACCCCGGCCCGCCGUUGAAACUGGCUUGCUUGAGUUGGAGAGAAGUAGGCGGAAUGCGCGGUGUAGCGGUGAAAUGCUUAGAUAUCGCGCAGAACUCCGAUUGCGAAGGCAGCCUACCGGCUCCAGACUGACGCUGAGGCACGAAAGCGUGGGUAUCGAACAGGAUUAGAUACCCC
rnacentral:rRNA from 1 species